GUCCUUAUGGUGCAACCAAGUUUGAAGAAAGAUUAUCGCCAAACACCUCCCUGGAUUCAUCAUUGAUAAUUCAAGCUCCUAAUAGUCUCUCAGGUAAAGCUGCUGGUAUGCAGUCUUGACUCUCAUGUGCAUUUCAUUUUCCUCUUAGUGCCCGUGUCUUUGCCCAGAUGUAGUUGGGCUAGAGAAUUCUUGAGGCAUGUUGUUAAUAGGAAACUCCUUAGUAAAAUUCUAUACAUCAAGAAUUCCUGGUACGGAGGCAGUUAUUCUACAUUCAGCCAAGUGUUAUUCAUGUAUUUCUAUGGCUCUGAUCCCAAACAUGGUGCACUUCACCAUGUGUUGAAAGCUGGAAAUUUUAGAUUGGGCAGUGGAGUGAUGUACUUUUGCCUUUUGGCCUUCAUAAUGAAGCAACAAAGGAGAUUGUCAACUUCCCUAUUUUUCUGCCCUGGGUAAAACACAUAGGGAGUAUUAGCAUCUCUUUCUCCUUUGAAUUUUGUACUGCUUAGAUUUUCUGC
rnacentral:misc_RNA from 1 species